rnacentral:rRNA from 1 species
AGCGAACGCUGGCGGCAGGCCUAACACAUGCAAGUCGAACGAACCUUUCGGGGUUAGUGGCGGACGGGUGAGUAACACGUGGGAACGUGCCUUUAGGUUCGGAAUAACUCAGGGAAACUUGUGCUAAUACCGAAUGUGCCCUUCGGGGGAAAGAUUUAUCGCCUUUAGAGCGGCCCGCGUCUGAUUAGCUAGUUGGUUGAGGUAAUGGCUCACCAAGGCGACGAUCAGUAGCUGGUCUGAGAGGAUGAUCAGCCACAUUGGGACUGAGACACGGCCCAAACCCUUCCGGAAGGCAGAAGGGGGAAUCUUGCGCAAUGGGCGAAAGCCUGACGCAGCCAUGCCGCGUGAAUGAUGAAGGUCUUAGGAUUGUAAAAUUCUUUCACCGGGGACGAUAAUGACGGUACCCGGAGAAGAAGCCCCGGCUAACUUCGUG